UCUUGCACGUGCAAAGAGCUUGCAAACUACGACAACUUUUAGCGUCUUUUUCAGCUUCUAAGGAGUCAAAAAACACGUCAUUUCGACCCUAUUACCUUGGAUACUAUCUGUUCUGUCCAGGUCUGCCAGUGUCUUUAUGCUGGAUCAAGUGGUCUAGAUACCAUGUCGAGGAUUUGUGCUUUUCACUUUAUCGCGUCGUUUCUUCAGAAGAAAAUUAGAGCACUACGAAAUCAACAACUUCAAGGAAGGAAGGAAAUACAUGACAACUCCUAACAAG